GUUGGUGGCUCAGUGGUUAGAGCCUAGAGCUUGGGAGCUAAAGGUCCAGGGUUCGAAUCUCGCUAGAGGCA
rnacentral:tRNA from 1 species